rnacentral:lncRNA from 1 species
GAGCAGUGGGUUGGGUGAGAAUAGCUGUCUCUUUGCUGUGUCUUGUGACAAUUCACUAAAUAACACUAAACUAUGUCUCUCUCUCUCUCUGAAGACAGGAGAAAACCCCCGCGGAACCAGCCAGCACAUGUUUCGUGGCAAGAUCAGGGCCUCAGACACCACAAACUCUUCCUUUUUGGGCUCAAGAUCCUGAGAAGCUGCGGAAAAUUUGGGCAGAAGCAGAUCCUCUCAGCGUUGCACGGGACAGCAGACGUGACCUGCUCGGGGAUGUGGAGACACCUGGCACGGGGUCCUCAGUCUGGUCGGAUGGGAUGGAACAGAAAUUGCUCUAAACGAAGAUCAGAUUUACACUGCAGCACCUAAUUAGAAGCAGUGACUUUGUUUCCCAGUUCCCUUUGGCAGGACUCGCUACAGUAAUACCGGGCAGCUUGGAUUUAUAAUCAGGUAGGGAGGCUCAGACACCUUGCGAUGCAUACGUAUAAAUAUCUAUAUUUUAGGCAUGUGUUUUACACUCUCUCCCCCUGGUAGAAAGCUCUAUCUGGCCCACAAGCAGCUGCCUUUUAAACCCAGGACUAAAUCUUUAGGGCAGACCUUCAGCCAGUGAAACUCCAUUCAGAGCAGUCGUCCUGCUUCAUGGAAUUAACUGCUGCAGUGUCAGUCUCCUCUUCAUCUGGGGCAAAUCCCAACAGAAAAAGACUCUGAGAGCGUUAAGUGAGUGGGAUUUGUGCUUUACGUCACCUAAGGGUAUGUGAAAUCUGGCCUUUCCUCUCC